UUUUAAGAAUAGAUAAAAGAGCAAAACUUAUAAUUAUACAAAAACAAACAAUCAGUGUUUAUGUCUAUUAGUUUCUAAAUGCAUCAGUAUUUUUCCUGCAGUUUCUUUCUAUAUAUAGACUUAACUUAGGGUUUCUUGACAGCCUGUAAGCAACACUGAAAUAAGAAUGCUAUUAAUCUUUAAUAUAUGUUUUUAUGCCAUAUAAAAUAGUAUAUUCUACUAAGCAAGUCUGUGACAUACAUUCAGAUUACAAUUUACUCUGCCAUUAAUUAUGUGUACAAUAAACAUAAAUAGUUAUUAAUUGUCCUUUUAAUAUAUAAUUAUGUACAAUUAAUGUGUAAAAUAUGUAUGCUUGAUACUUUCUUAUAAUUAAGAUAAAUAAAUACAGUGCAUCCACUAAGUUUUCACACACAGAAUAUAACACACUGAUCAGAUAAAACUAAUGGCACCCCAGGUGGUUCCCUCUUAUAAUCUAUGCAUGAUCAAUCUUCUCAUUGAGCAUUCUGGGAUAGAACAGAUUGUUCCAUGUGAUUAUUCAGGGGGAGUCUGGGUUUUUAUACAAUCCAAAACAGUCUAAAAUGACACUGCAACUGUGAUUCUCUUAUAAUUUUCAAGUUUUACUUUUAUUUAUCAUUUGAUAUAUUUGUACCUUCAAUAAAAUUAAUGUAAAAAUAAAAUGAUGAUGGCUUUGAUAUUUUGGGAUCACCCCUGUUUCACAUUAUGAUUGCCCCUUCAGUUAUACUGUUGAAAAAUUUGAAUCUCAGACAUUAAUGGGUCAAGUGGUUAUAGUUGGAAGUAGUGCAAACCUGGAUUUAUUUUAAGCAAUUUUGGACAUAUCUUGUUUUAAAUGUUAGGGAGCAUAUUUUGGAAUUUUCAAAGAAAACAUUUAUCUAAGUGUGACAAGAUUCAGGAAAUGUUUGGUUGUUGUAAUUGAACCUAAAGAUCAAUGACCUGGGACAGGAAGAUAAACAAAAGAAACAUGAUAGUAAAAAGGUUCAGGUAAAUAAUUUUAGAUACAUUUAUGCAUAAAAUCUGUUGUUGUUUUUUUUUCAAAUAAGUAUUAAAUACAAACUAUUUUAGAUCUAUAUUUUUAACCUAAAUGUAAGCUAGUUUAAAUACAAUUGUUUAGAGGAUAUUUUAAGAGUAUUAAUGUUAUUUUUGUCUAUGAUUGUAUUGAACAAGAUGAGUGCAUGAAACUAUGAUGACAUUAUUUAUAAACUCAAAUUCAUCUUUCAUCUAUUAUUUGAAUCUACAAAUUUUUAAUUACAGAGUCAGCUUGAAAGCAAGUUUGCAAGACUGUUCCAAACUACAAGAAGAUGGCAAUCCAGCUUUGCUGUGUUUUUAAAUAUCAUAGUAUAUCAUUGGCAUCCAGGCAUCGAUUAAGCCAACUGUAGACCAGGAAAGGCUUCAAGGAAUAUACUACAGAAUUGUAUCCUGGAGCAUUUUCCACAUGUGACCCCUGUGAUGGUGAGGGAAAAACUAAGGGACAUUUAAAAAUCAUGAAGAGUGAACAGGAAUUCAAAAGAUAGAUAUUUGAAUACAUUAAAAUUUAACCGGAUACCAAAAUAUUAUAACUGAACAUUGAGUGUAAUAUUUACCAUUAAAGACUUCUAACUUAACUUUUCA